rnacentral:tRNA from 1 species
ACAUAUAUAGUAUUAGUAAAUAUAUUAGAUUUAGAUUCUAAAGAUAUAAAAAUAUGUU